AAUUGUCUUUCGAAAGGUAAGAAUAUCUAUGUACACUGAUCAUGGGAU
rnacentral:sRNA from 1 species